rnacentral:rRNA from 1 species
AGUGAACGCUGGCGGUAGGCCUAACACAUGCAAGUAGAACGGCAGCACAGUAAGAGCUUGCUCUUACGGGUGGCGAGUGGCGGACGGGUGAGGAAUACAUCGGAAUCUACUUUUUCGUGGGGGAUAACGUAGGGAAACUUACGCUAAUACCGCAUACGACCUACGGGUGAAAGCAGGGGAUCUUCGGACCUUGCGCGAUUGAAUGAGCCGAUGUCGGAUUAGCUAGUUGGCGGGGUAAAGGCCCACCAAGGCGACGAUCCGUAGCUGGUCUGAGGGGAUGAUCAGCCACACUGGAACUGAGACACGGUCCAGACUCCUACGGGAGGCAGCAGUGGGGAAUAUUGGACAAUGGGCGCAAGCCUGAUCCAGCCAUACCGCGUGGGUGAAGAAGGCCUUCGGGUUGUAAAGCCCUUUUGUUGGGAAAGAAAAGCAGCAGGUUAAUACCCCGCUGUUCUGACGGUACCCAAAGAAUAAGCACCGGCUAACUUCGUG